rnacentral:lncRNA from 13 species
GUAACUAUUUGGCCCAACAUAUCUCUGGCAUAUGCCUUCCUUUCCAUUCUUCAGGAUGGAUCAGACUUCCAGAGCUGUCCUUGUAUCAGUUAAAACACAAGUUUAACUGCUUUAACUGAAAGACUGAAUAAUAAUGAUUUAAACAACAUAGUUAUUUUUCUUUCAUGUAGAUAUCUCUGUGACUAGAUGUCCAGACAUCUCUGUGACUGCUCUAGUAUUGGCAGGUGGCUCCAUCGUCACUGGAACCCAGACACCUUUUAUCAAGCUGCAGCCCCUGUCUGGUGGCUCUGGAUGACUGCCCCAGCUAUGCCUUCUCAGGGAAUGCAGGGCCACUCCUUUUUAGGACAGAGAAGCAACCCAAUGACGAAGAUGCAUCUGGGAGAAGGUAUGCUUGGAGAGAGGGAAGCAUGGAAGAAUAAAAGCAAUGGACUGUAUUCCUCAUUGGGUCAUCAGAUAGCAACUUGUUUCUUACCUCUGUGUCUACUUCCUAGUGUGCCAAAUACAGCUAGGUGCACCACUGGUGCAGAUGAGUACUCCUCUUCAGAACAACAUUUUCCAGAGCAUCUGGCCCAUACUAGCUGCUCAAUUAGUGGUACACAAGGAGGCAUGCAAGUGAGUGAGCAAGAGAGACACUUUGGCUACAUAAAUAUCGAACGCC